AGGGUUCGAUUAUGGCUCAGGACGAACGCUGGCGGCGCGCCUAACACAUGCAAGUCGAACGAGAGAGAAGGAGCUUGCUUCUUCGAUCGAGUGGCGAACGGGUGAGUAACGCGUGAGGAACCUGCCUCAAAGAGGGGGACAACAGUUGGAAACGACUGCUAAUACCGCAUAAGCCCACGGUACCGCAUGGUACUGAGGGAAAAGGAUUUAUUCGCUUUAGGAUGGACUCGCGUCCAAUUAGCUAGUUGGUGAGGUAACGGCCCACCAAGGCGACGAUUGGUAGCCGGACUGAGAGGUUGAACGGCCACAUUGGGACUGAGACACGGCCCAG
rnacentral:rRNA from 1 species